GAGGACACUUAGCAUUCAUGCAUUUAGCCCAGUGAACGCUAACCCAGGGAGUACCCACAUGUACGUGGUCAACACCGGCCAGGAGGACACUUAGCAUUCAUGCAUUUAGCCCAGUGAACACUAACCCAGGGAGAGGACACUUAGCAUUCAUGCAUUUAGCCCAGUGAAUGCUAACCCAGGGAGAGGACACUUAGCAUUCAUGCAUUUAGCCCAGUGAACACUAACCCAGGGGAGGACACUUAGCAUUCAUGCAUUUAGCCCAGUGAACGCUAACCCAGGGAGUACCCACAUGUACGUGGUCAACACCGGCCAGGAGGACACUUAGCAUUCAUGCAUUUAGCCCAGUGAACGCUAACCCAGGGAGUACCCACAUGUACGUGGUCAACACCGGCCCAGGAGGACACUUAGCAUUCAUGCAUUUAGCCCAGUGAAUGCUAGCCCAGAGAGCACCCACAUGUACGUGGUCAACACCGGCCCAGGAGGACACUUAGCAUUCAUGCAUUUAGCCCAGUGAACACUUACCCAGGGAGUACCCACAUGUACGUGGUCAACACCGGCCCAGGAGGACACUUAGCAUUCAUGCAUUUAGCCCAGUGAACACUUACCCAGGGAGUACCCACAUGUACGUGGUCAACACCGGCCCAGGAGGACACUUAGCAUUCAUGCAUUUAGCCCAGUGAACGCUAACCGAGAGAGUACCCACAUGUACGUGGUCAACACCGGCCCAGGAGGACACUUAGCAUUCAUGCAUUUAGCCCAGUGAACGCUAACCCAGGGAGUACCCACAUGUACGUGGUCAACACCGGCCCAGGAGGACACUUAGCAUUCAUGCAUUUAGCCCAGUGAUUGCUAACCCAGGGAGUACCCACAUGUACGUGGUCAACACCGGCCCAGGAGGACACUUAGCAUUCAUGCAUUUAGCCCAGUGAACGCUAACCGAGAGAGUACCCACAUGUACGUGGUCAACACCGGCCCAGGAGGACACUUAGCAUUCAUGCAUUUAGCCCAGUGAACGCUAACCCAGGGAGUACCCACAUGUACGUGGUCAACACCGGCCCAGGAGGACACUUAGCAUUCAUGCAUUUAGCCCAGUGAUCGCUAACCCAGGGAGUACCCACAUGUACGUGGUCAACACCGGCCCAGGAGGACACUUAGCAUUCAUGCAUUUAGCCCAGUGAACGCUAACCCAGGGAGUACCCACAUGUACGUGGUCAACACCGGCCCAGGAGGACACUUAGCAUUCAUGCAUUUAGCCCAGUGAACGCUAACCGAGAGAGUACCCACAUGUACGUGGUCAACACCGGCCCAGGAGGACACUUAGCAUUCAUGCAUUUAGCCCAGUGAACGCUAACCCAGAGAGCACCCACAUGUACGUGGUCAACACCGGCCAAGGAGGACACUUAGCAUUCAUGCAUUUAGCCCAGUGAACGCUAACCCAGAGAGCACCCACAU